rnacentral:misc_RNA from 3 species
CAGAGUUUACAACUCCCAAACCCAAAUGUGAACAUACCAAUCGUUGCUUCGGCGGACCCGCCCCGGCGUCCGGACCGGCCCUACAAGGCCGGCCGCGGCCCGGGCCCAGGCGGCCGCCGGAGACCCAACCAAAACUUUUUGUAUUAUCAGUGUCUUCUGAAUCCGCCGCAAGGCAAAACAAAUGAAUCAAAACUUUCAACAACGGAUCUCUUGGUUCUGGCAUCGAUGAAGAACGCAGCGAAAUGCGAUAAGUAAUGUGAAUUGCAGAAUUCAGUGAAUCAUCGAAUCUUUGAACGCACAUUGCGCCCGCCAGCAUUCUGGCGGGCAUGCCUGUUCGAGCGUCAUUUCAACCCUCGAGCUCCCUUUGGGGAGCCCGGCUGUUGGGGAUCGGCUGUACCGCCGGCCCCGAAAUGGAGUGGCGGCCCGUCCGCGGCGACCUCUGCGUAGUAGCAACACCUCGCACCGGAACCCCGACGUGGCCACGCCGUAAAACACCCCACUUUCUGAAC